AUCUCAAAGCCCUUGACUGGGUUUGGAAUGGCUUCCAGUCCUGGUCCAGGCACUUGUCUACGUGUGAUGUGUGGGUAGCUUCUCUUUCAGUUCAGGAACCUGGGCAGUUCUUGGCUUCUGUGGACAAAUUGGACAUGGCAGGAAAUGAGGGUGUCUGCCUUUCCAGGUAAGAUCAAGCAAGAUGAUAAGGCUUCCUGCUGGCUCCCCUGCAUCCCUGGAAACCGGCUUCUUGGGUGAGGGCAUCUGGCCACACACAGAGGCCACGUGGACUGGCCUGGCUGGUGAGACCAGCUGCGGGCUCAGCUGAGAAUUAGCACGACUCCCCAGACACGGGAGAGAGCCAUUUCUCAAACACCUCAGUCUGAAAUGGUACUCAGUGAGGCUGGAAGACUUUGUGACUAUGACAUACAGAAUGGAACAGGUGACAAAGAGAUCCAGUGGAUCAUCUCCCAGAUUUUGAGUCUCCCAGACAGGUGCCAGGAGGAGCUGACAUGUCCUCCCCUGGUCCAGUCCUUCUCAUAUUAAAGGUCCCUGAACAGAA